UGAACCGCAUGGUUCAAAAGUGAAAGACGGUCUUGCUGUCACUUAUAGAUGGAUCCGCGCUGCAUUAGCUAGUUGGUAAGGUAACGGCUUACCAAGGCAACGAUGCAUAGCCGACCUGAGAGGGUGAUCGGCCACACUGGAACUGAGACACGGUCCAGACUCCUACGGGAGGCAGCAGUAGGGAAUCUUCCGCAAUGGGCGAAAGCCUGACGGAGCAACGCCGCGUGAGUGAUGAAGGUCUUCGGAUCGUAAAACUCUGUUAUUAGGGAAGAACAUAUGUGUAAGUAACUGUGCACAUCUUGACGGUACCUAAUCAGAAAGCCACGGCUAACUACGUGCCAGCAGCCGCGGUAAUACGUAGGUGGCAAGCGUUAUCCGGAAUUAUUGGGCGUAAAGCGCGCGUAGGCGGUUUUUUAAGUCUGAUGUGAAAGCCCACGGCUCAACCGUGGAGGGUCAUUGGAAACUGGAAAACUUGAGUGCAGAAGAGGAAAGUGGAAUUCCAUGUGUAGCGGUGAAAUGCGCAGAGAUAUGGAGGAACACCAGUGGCGAAGGCGACUUUCUGGUCUGUAACUGACGCUGAUGUGCGAAAGCGUGGGGAUCAAACAGGAUUAGAUACCCUGGUAGUCCACGCCGUAAACGAUGAGUGCUAAGUGUUAGGGGGUUUCCGCCCCUUAGUGCUGCAGCUAACGCAUUAAGCACUCCGCCUGGGGAGUACGACCGCAAGGUUGAAACUCAAAGGAAUUGACGGGGACCCGCACAAGCGGUGGAGCAUGUGGUUUAAUUCGAAGCAACGCGAAGAACCUUACCAAAUCUUGACAUCCUUUGACAACUCUAGAGAUAGAGCCUUCCCCUUCGGGGGACAAAGUGACAGGUGGUGCAUGGUUGUCGUCAGCUCGUGUCGUGAGAUGUUGGGUUAAGUCCCGCAACGAGCGCAACCCUUAAGCUUAGUUGCCAUCAUUAAGUUGGGCACUCUAAGUUGACUGCCGGUGACAAACCGGAGGAAGGUGGGGAUGACGUCAAAUCAUCAUGCCCCUUAUGAUUUGGGCUACACACGUGCUACAAUGGACAAUACAAAGGGCAGCGAAACCGCGAGGUCAAGCAAAUCCCAUAAAGUUGUUCUCAGUUCGGAUUGUAGUCUGCAACUCGACUACAUGAAGCUGGAAUCGCUAGUAAUCGUAGAUCAGCAUGCUACGGUGAAUACGUUCCCGGGUCUUGUACACACCGCCCGUCACACCACGAGAGUUUGUAACACCCGAAGCCGGUGGAGUAACCUUUUAGGAGCUAGCCGUCGAAGGUGGGACAAAUGAUUGGGGUGAAGUCGUAACAAGGUAGCCGUAUCGGAAGGUGCGGCUG
rnacentral:rRNA from 1 species